GGAAGGCCACUUUUACUGGAAACAGUGAAUUUUUUGAAUUUUUUUUUUUACUGAAAACAAUAGCUGGCUUCUUAGUCAAAAGAACAAUUCAAAUAAGAAACAAUCAUAGCAAAUGUGAACAUCUUCUUAAAAUACUAUUUUAAUUAAUUUAAAUUGUAUAUGGAAAGCUUCAGCGUAAUUCCUGAACUCUACUUUGCAGGAGUUGGAGUGAAUUUGGUAAGCAUUCUGAACCCUGCCCCGAGGAAAAGCCUGAGGUCUUCGGACUGAGGAAGAAAGUUCUGAAGUAAACUUUCAAUACUGUGGAUUGGCAGUGAGCGAAGCAGGAGCAUGAGGAUCCACCGUGAUUUCUAUCAGUGUGGAAGAUGCAUGCAUCCUUUCACCUAUGUCUGUUGGUAUCGAACCAGCUAGGAACAUUUUCCAAGAAAAGAGGAACACUUCCGUCCAGGAACUGGACCUCGAGGUUCAAAGCUCCUUCAAAAGCGGAAGAACAAUCUUUGCACAAGAAAAAUUGUUCUCAAAACACCUUUGUUAGUGAUCAUAGAAGCCCACACUCUGGAGUUCGAGGGGAGUUAAGACAUUAUCUAAUUCAGCAGCUUUGGAGAAAGACGAGUAUCUUCACAAAAGCGUCCUGGAAACUGGUGAAUCUGAGUUUGUUUUAUUCUGAGUAUCUACUUACUUCCUUGCAGUCUAGGCAUCUUGAAUUAAUAUAUUUUGUUACCCUAUUCUUGAUGGCCACCUUAUAGGCUGGUUUUCUAAAUGCGCUACAUCUUCAGCUGCUUGCUGAGGAUUCGGCUAAACACCCUACUCUCUGCUGGGAGCUGUUAGAGCUUCUAGAGUGGAUUUUUUUCCCUUUCUCCCAAGUGGCUCUCUGCUGCCCUCAACUGGUGGUCGGCGCCAGAGCUCGCUAGCUUUCUGCAUUCCUGCUAAUCCACCGCAGACCAGAGUGCAAAGGAGACAGGCGAGAUUCAUAACAUCGCUUACGGCUUUUAUAGCACAGAAAGAAAAAUGGAAUUCAGGCCGCUCUGUGUUCCCUCACACUCGCUUUCUCAUUUCCUACACGUUUGCUCAGAGCCCGUGAAAGAGGAUGUCCGAUUUUCCCUAUUUUUAAGUUUUUGUGCUAAGAUAUAGAGAACUACUUAAUUGUCAAGUUGAGAUACAUUUCUGCUGACACAUUAAUAUGCAAAAAUUUCUGAAAUUCCUGUAUUUAGUCUUAUGUAAUAUUUACCAUUUUAUCUUAAAUGGUAUGCAUGAGGUCCAAAAAUGGUAAUAAACUUUCUCAUUUAUUCACCAAAUACGCACCAGGUACACUGUAUACGUUAGACCCUGCUCUUGGUACUCACGAUGCAGUAUUGGAUAAAGGAGGUUUAAAAAUCCUUCUGCCUUCAUUGAACUUGUUCUUGGUUGGAAAAGGUGGACAAAAUGCCCCUUUCGAGAAUGCAUCAUUCCCUUUUCUAUUCCAAACAUAAAUACACUACAGUGGAAACGUAUUACAGUUAAUAGAAGCACGUACAGAAGUUAAUAAGUGACAAUGUACAUUACAAAUACUCAAUAUAUGACUUGUCCAUUCAUUCAUUCAUUCAUAAAUUUGCUUGAAUAUAGUAUAGACAUUUAGAAGUGAUUGAUGUAACUAAGUGCAUGAAUCAGCCAGCUGCUGAUUUUAUCUUGUUUCUUUUUUCCAUUUUUAUGGUUCUGGGACCUGCACCACUGAGCUACACCCUCAGCCCUAAUUAUUACUUUUUUUUAUUUUGAGAUAGCUUCCCAGUCUGGCUUUGAAUUUGUGAUCUUUCUGCCUCAGCCUGCACAGUAGCUGGGAUUGCAGAUAUGUGUGCCUUGAAAUGCAGAAUGUUAUCUAUGAUACUAUCACAAUCUUCUGUUGAGAUGCCAGGUGGCAUGUAGGUUUUAUUUUAAAUUUAUUUUUUAAAAAUUAAUGGAAUGUCACUUUAUUACCUGCUGUAUUAGCUAUCACAGAAGAUCUUGCAUUACAGCCAGUGGUGCAAUCCUUUGCCAUUCUCUUUUCCCUUCUGUUUUUAUUCUGUCC
ensembl:lincRNA